rnacentral:lncRNA from 1 species
UCAUAAUUCAUAUCCAAUUUACAGUAUACAAUAUGUUAAAAUUUGAAUAAAAUAUAAACACUGAUAUGUAAAAAUGAAUUAACUCUAACGGGCGUUGUGUAUGAAGCAUUGGGCGAAUAAUGAUGGUUUGUUUAGUUUUGUUAGUGAGCACUCGAGAAACUAAUUCUCAAACUCAUAUUAUUAUUUUUCAUUCUUGAGGACAAUACACAUAACAGAAAAAAACAUCGAAACCAUGAGUGAACAGGAACCCGUUUUAAGAUCUGUGGUUGGAUAUGCGGAUGUCACAACAGGACAUAGUAUACGUUAUAUGUUUGAAACGGAAGGGAAUUAUUUCACGAGGACCAUAUGGGUGUUGUUGGUUAUAGCAUUUAUCAUAAUAUCUACAAUUUUAUCAAAAAAUGCAUAUAAUACUUGGGUUGAUGAUCCAAUUUUGACAAUGAUUACUACAACUGGUCUACCAAUUCAACAAAUUAAUUUUCCGGCAGUAACUAUUUGUAGUCAAGUAUUAACAACUUCUUAUUAAAAAGCUUUUUGAACAUCUUUGAUUGAUUUAGUGUGGAAUAUAGGCUAUAAAAAAUGGUAAUAUUAAGAGAAUGACAAGAAAGUCUAUGGACUUUCAUUGGAACAGGUACUUGAAAAAGCACAAAAAUACCACCAUUGAGGAUAUUAGGAGAGAAUUAUCGAAUAUUUU